GUCUACAGCUGUGCCACCCUGAAUGUGCCCAAUCUUGUCUGAUCUCAGAAGCUAAGCAAGGUCUGGCCUGGUUAGUACUUGGAUGGGAGAUCACCUAGGAAUACCAGGUGCUGUAGGCG
rnacentral:rRNA from 1 species